UGGAGGGCCACAGUUUGAGACCACUGGCCUAGAAUCUGAGUAUGUUUACCAGUGUGGAGUCCACCAUGGCGCCCUAUUAAGCCCCUUCAACAUCAUUUGCUUGCAGAGCCGACCUGAGACCUGCAUUGUAGUCUUCCUAAUGACAUUUCCCGUUAACUAAUUGGAUCCAGACUCACGUCUGUCUGUCAAACGUGGCACUCCAUGGGACUGUUCAGUGAUGGUGAAGUUCUGCAACAUGAUACCUGGAAGGAUGUAUACAGGAAACAAUUCUUGUGAUGUAAUAGCUAAGCAGCACUAAUGCUCACAGGAGUCCAAAGAAGAGAUUAGCAUAUUGCAGAGAGGUCCUUGUUCAACUCUUUCCUCUCUAAUGAAGACAAAAUUCCCC